rnacentral:rRNA from 1 species
GACGAACCGUACGAACGUUAUUCGGAAUCACUGGGCGUAAAGGGUGCGUAGGCGGGUCUUUAAGUCAGGGGUGAAAUCCUGGAGCUCAACUCCAGAACUGCCUUUGAUACUGAGGAUCUUGAGUUCGGGAGAGGUGAGUGGAACUGCGAGUGUAGAGGUGAAAUUCGUAGAUAUUCGCAAGAACACCAGUGGCGAAGGCGGCUCACUGGCCCGAUACUGACGCUGAGGCACGAAAGCGUGGGGAGCAAACAGG